rnacentral:rRNA from 1 species
GACGAACGCUGGCGGCGCGCUUAACACAUGCAAGUCGAACGAUGAAGCCGGAGCUUGCUCUGGUGAAUUAGUGGCGAACGGGUGAGUAACACGUGAGUAACCUGCCCUUGACUCUGGGAUAACUGCGGGAAACUGUAGCUAAUACCGGAUACGACCCUCGGAGGCAUCUCCUGGGGGUGGAAAGAGUUUCGGUCCAGGAUGACUCGCGGCCUAUCAGCCAGUUGGUGAGGUAAAGGCUCACCAAGGCGACGACGGGUAGCCGGCCUGAGAGGGUGACCGGCCACACUGGGACUGAGACACGGCCCAGACUCCUACGGGAGGCAGCAGUGGGGAAUAUUGCACAAUGGGCGCAAGCCUGAUGCAGCAACGCCGCGUGAGGGAUGACGGCCUUCGGGUUGUAAACCUCUUUUAGCAGGGAAGAAGCGAAAGUGACGGUACCUGCAGAAAAAGCACCGGCUAACUACGUGCCAGCCGCCGCCGUAA